rnacentral:pre_miRNA from 1 species
AUCUUAUUGGAUGACGACUGUCACAUGUCAUGUUCUGAUUGGUCAAUGAAAACAACAAUGCAUUUCAUCUUUCAUAGAAUUGAUAUUCAAUCAAAACAUGACACGUGACAGUCAUCAUCC